rnacentral:rRNA from 1 species
UACGUAGGGUGCAAGCGUUGUCCGGAAUUAUUGGGCGUAAAGAGCUCGUAGGCGGUCUGUCACGUCGGCUGUGAAAACCCGGGGCUCAGCCCCGGGCCUGCAGUCGAUACGGGCAGACUAGAGUGCGGUAGGGGAGACUGGAAUUCCUGGUGUAGCGGUGAAAUGCGUAGAUAUCGGGAGGAACACCAGUGGCGAAGGCGACUAUCUGGGCUGCAACUGACGCUGAGGCGCGAAGGCUAGGGUAGCAAACAGG